GUGGGGAAUCUUCCGCAAUGGACGAAAGUCUGACGGAGCAACGCCGCGUGAGUGAUGAAGGUCUUCGGAUUGUAAAGCUCUGUUAAUCGGGACGAAAGAGCCUAGUGUGAAUAAUGCUAGGAAGUGACGGUACCGGAAUAGAAAGCCACGGCUAACUACGUGCCAGCAGCCGCGGUAAUACGUAGGUGGCAAGCGUUGUCCGGAAUUAUUGGGCGUAAAGCGCGCGCAGGCGGAUCUGCCAGUCUGUCUUAAAAGUUCGGGGCUUAACCCCGUGAUGGGAUGGAAACUACAGAUCUAGAGUAUCGGAGAGGAAAGUGGAAUUCCUAGUGUAGCGGUGAAAUGCGUAGAUAUUAGGAAGAACACCAGUGGCGAAGGCGACUUUCUGGACGAAAACUGACGCUGAGGCGCGAAAGCCAGGGGAGCGAACGGGAUUAGAAACCCGAGUAGUC
rnacentral:rRNA from 1 species